GUCAGGCUGGGAAUCGUCGGGGAGAGUUGCUUUGCUAGGGUGAGCUAUUUGAGAAAGAAAGUAACUCAAGCCGGACGGCAGGCGGGGUCGGGUGAUGUAACAGGAAGCGCUGAUGUUUCCCUUCUGCCGCCGAUCGCUUUCAAUCUGCCCCCGCUUCCAAGCGCGCGCAGAGCAGCUCCUCUUCCCAGGCAGCCCAGGUCCUGGGCUUCCCAUACCCGGAUUAUACCCGGCUCUUCUCACCCCCUCCUCCAGGGAGGACGGCUUCUCUCUGGCUCCCGACCUGCGGAGGGGAAGACCAAGCGGAGACGCGGGAGCCAGGUUUCCCCAGGCGCCGCGGGCGGAUAUGACUACUGGGUAAGACAGCAUCUCAAAGACAAGAGUGAGUAUGAACAAAGGGAAAAUGUUGUUUGAGUCUGAAGACUGCUUUACAUCUUGAUCUUAUUGUUGAACAAUAGCAUUUAAAUACAUUGCAUCAGAUCUAGUGAUGGAGACAAACUGGACCAUAUGUUUGCUACUCCUCUUAUCUGUUACUAUGUUUUUUGCCGCUGCUAUACCAGCUGAGGCACAUCAGAAUAAUACAGAAGACAUUGGUCAGCUGAGUGUUACCCGGAAUAAGAUUAUGACAGCACAGUAUGAAUGCUAUCAGAAAAUCAUGCAAGAUCCCAUUCAUAGAAAAGAAGGUACUUACUGUAACAGAACAUGGGAUGGUUGGUUGUGCUGGAAUGAUGUUGUUGCGGGUACCACAUCAGUACAACGCUGCCCUGACUAUUUUCAGGACUUCAACCCAUCAGAAAAAGUUACGAAGAUCUGUGAUCCAAGUGGACACUGGUUUAGACACCCUGAAAGCAACAGAACCUGGACAAAUUAUACCCAGUGUAAUAGCUAUACACAUGAAAAAGUGAAGACAGCCUUGAAUUUGUACUAUUUGGCCAACAUUGGACAUGGUCUUUCAAUUGCAUCACUCUUGAUUUCCCUUGGCAUCUUCUUUUAUUUUAAGAGCUUGAGCUGCCAAAGGAUCACCCUCCAUAAAAAUCUGUUUUUCUCUUUUGUUUGCAAUUCCAUUGUUACAAUAAUUUGGCUGACUGCAGUUGCCAACAACCAGCCGUUAGUUGCGACUAAUCCAGUUAGUUGCAAAGUGUCUCAGUUCAUUUACCUGUAUCUAAUGGGUUGCAAUUACUUCUGGAUGCUCUGUGAAGGCAUUUAUCUGCAUACUCUCAUUGUGGUGGCUGUCUUUGCAGAGAAACAGCAUUUAAUGUGGUAUUAUCUUCUUGGCUGGGGAUUCCCAUUGAUCCCUGCCUGCAUUCAUGCGGUAGCUAGAAGUUUAUAUUACAAUGACAACUGCUGGAUCAGUUCUGAAACACAUCUGCUGUACAUCAUCCACGGUCCUAUUUGUGCUGCUCUAUUGGUAAACUUUUUUUUCCUGUUGAAUAUUGUGCGAGUUCUUAUAACAAAGCUAAAAGUUACACACCAGGCAGAAUCUAAUCUGUAUAUGAAAGCUGUGAGAGCUACCCUGAUUUUAGUGCCACUUCUUGGCAUUGAAUUUGUGCUGAUUCCAUGGCGACCAGAAGGACGUAUUGCUGAAGAAGUAUAUGACUAUGUGAUGCAUAUCCUUAUGCAUUAUCAGGGUCUGUUGGUGGCUACAAUUUUCUGCUUUUUCAAUGGAGAGGUCCAAGCUGUUUUGAGAAGACACUGGAACCAGUACAGAAUCCAAUUUGAACACAGCUUCAGUCACUCAGAUGCUAUUCGCACAGCCUCCUACACAGUAUCAUCAAUCAGCGAUGUUCAAGGUUACAGCUACAAUCAUGAUUCCACCACUGAACAUUUAAAUGGGAAAGGAUACCAUGACAUGGAGACUGUUGUUUUAAAAACUGAAAAGUUAUAUGGCUGACUGCUAGAGACUCUUUAGAUCUUCAGUACUCUAAUCUUCAGAGUUCAUGAACUUGACCUGUUGUUUUAGUGACUUCAUGGCCAGAUUUUUGCCAAACCUGGGACGUUUUUUUCCUGAAUGAUGCAACCUAAGACAACAUAUUCCUCACACGUAUAUUCAUUUAUACAUAUAUAUGUGUGUGUGUGUGUGUGUGCGCGCGCGUGUGCAUGUAUGUGUGUCAAUGCAGUAUGGACACAUAAAUAUAUAUGUAUGCACAAAUAUAUAAGUACAUUUAUAAAAAUACAGACUUUGCCUCUUCAGUUUCUACCGUGUAGACAAAGUUGGCAAUUUUUUGUAUGAAGGGAAUCAAUGAAAGAUUUCUUAUUUUCCUGAAAGCUUGUAUGAAGACUAGGUUAUAUUGUAAGCCACUUCAUUUGCAAGAACUCAGCUUGUAAAUACUUUAUUUAUCAUAUUGUAAUGUUUUACUUCAACUGAUGCAACCUAAACAAGUGGUUAAGGCAGGUGCCAGAACUACAAUAAGAUGUCCAGGUUAAUAUCAUAUACAAUAUAUAACUAUUUAGAAAGACAAACUAUUUAGGGCAGGAUUGCAGCAACCUAUGGCUUGUUGGCUGGAUUUAGCCUUCCCAGUGAUUUAAUUCAGCCUGCAAAGCCAGGACAUUGGUGGCAAUUUGGUAGUGAGACACCUACCUUUUGAAUUAACUCCAUUACUUCAUCCUGCCACUCCUAAAAGGUUGCCAAGCCCUGGUUUAAGAUAAUGGACUUUGAUAUAUUGGCAGUGAGCUGGCUCAUUUUUGCUUCUGUUUUAAACCAAACAUAAAGGGAUACAGAUGCUACUGCCAGAAAUCUGCAGUAUGAAACGACCCAACUGCAUCUAUCCUGCAAUGUAAUACUGUACAACAAAGUUUGAACUCUGUGUGUCUGUGUUUGUGGGUGUGUGUCUUCAGUGGCAGUUUCCUGUUGGCUUUAAUGAGAGCACUACUAGUUAGGUGCACUAGUUAGAAAAGUCCAUUAUUAGUACACGUGUAACUUUUAAUUCCUUUUUCAACAAAGCUUGUUCACAAAUAAGUUUGAUGGAACUUGAAGGCAUGCUUAAACAUGCUGCAGAUCUUUGGCAAGUCUGCUUGCAUUGAAAGAUAAUUAUUCUUUAACGCAUACCUUGUUCCUUAGCUUAUAAGGAAUUUGCAUUGAUGCUCUGCGAGUCUUGCCUGAAAUGACAUGCAAAAUUGGAUGCUAUUUAAAUAAUAAAGUCAAGACCUUAGAUGUAGGUGAUUUUAGAAUCAUCAAGUUGGAAAGGACCCCAAGGGUCAUGAACCCCAACCUCCUGCAUGGAUGCAGCAUGCACUGUUCCUAAGCCAUCCAAGACAGAUACUUAUUCAGCCACUUCUUGUAUGUUGGAAUUUUUCAGUGUUCAGAAAGCUUGUUACAGUACAAGCUCUGUCUUAUAAAAAACCUUUGGAGCCUUUUUAAAGUGUAUUGUUUAGAAAAUUCAACAUUAUAUUGUGAUUGUUGAUUGUAUAAGGUUUGAAUCUGCCUCAGUUUACUCAAAGUUGAGCCGUACUAUAUUCCAUGAGUUCAUUGUUUCUAUUCCUCAUGAAUAAGGAUGUUGGAAUAGAAUUUAUGGUCAACAAACAAUUCUUGUGAAGGCUGUUGAAAAGGUCUUAAGAAAAUGUCUUUAAAUACAGCAUUUUAUGUAUGCUUUAAAAGUGUUAUUUUUUUACAUAGUGUAUUUUUUAUAGAAAUGGGAGGAAAAAAAUCAAGACUAGGGAAGCAUAGUAGAAGAUGACUGUCACUCUCAAAAAAUCCUGUUUAAAAGCAAAGAGGAAAGAAAAACACUUUAUUUUUUGUUAAUAGCUUGUUUAAGUGAAAGAAACUGAAAAGGAUGAAAAUCUAGUGGUAGGGUUGAUAGAAUUUUAUCAUACAAAAAUAUUUCUGAUUUAUGAAAGCCAGCCUGAGAGGUAAUAAAAAGCUUUUCUAAAAACAGUUUGCUUUUAAAAGCUUAUGAUUAAACAUUAUGAAUUCAGGUUUAUUCCUAAUGUUAUUUUGCCACUAGUUUUUUAAUGAAAUUAAAUAGGCUGCUAAUGAGCUAUCCCAGUGCUUAUUGGCAUAUGAUUUCCUAAGGCUUUGGAUAAAGUUUGUCUUCAUCAUUGCAGUUUCAAAAGAUAACAAUGAUAGGAAAAUGCAAUGCAUUCAUAACACUUGCAGCUUACCAUAUAUUUUAGAUCUUCUACUGGUUGGUGUUUAACUUGGAAGGGAUUCUGCUAAAACUUUAUGAAAAUAUAGAAACUCAGACAUGUUGCAGGCGUCAAGAUUUUUGUUCAGAUAACAAGCUGUCUGACUGAAUGCAUAUGAACUUCAUGAAAGUCUUAUGGAAGCUGUACUUAUUUCAGUGCCAGGUUCUAGAAAUCAAGUGUCAUAAUAUUUACUAUUGUGAGGGAUACAACCUGCUUACCAGUUUGCUUUCUGACCAAAUUGCUUGAACAGCGUUUUUUUAUUAUUAUUUGGUUUGAGUGAAAUUCCUAGAAAACUUAAGUAGUGUAGACAUCCUGCUCAGAUGUGAACUUCACGCAUGGGAUUAGAUUCUCGUCUGCUGUAAAUCAGCAUAGUUCUCUGCAAGUCAGUGGAAAUAUGUAGAAUUACAUGAACUGAAGAUCUUGCUCUUUAAGUUCAUGGUCCAGAUCCUCCAAGGCCUAUCUCCCACUUAAAUCAAUCGUCAAAAUAAAUGUGAGUUAGUUAGGCACCUGAUUAUCUUGGAAGACAUAUGCCCAUGUGUAAUCUAAACAGCAAGUUCCACAUUUUUAACCUUUUAAUUUCUUUAGGGUUUCUUUACAUAAUAUUUCCUGAUGCUUGAUUCAAAAGUGCCUGACUAUAGACUAUCAUGAUUAAAUCAUAAAUGAUAGCUGAAAAGCUGUUGUAAUCUCAGAGUUAAAUUAGAAGAGCUCAGUUUUAUUUCAGUUAGUGCAACUCCACAUGCUUUACUGAAGAAAGGACUGGGUGCCAACAGUACCCUGUCAUUUCACUAGAGAGCUUUGUAUUUGUAUGGCACAAGCAAGAGAUGAUGGCUACAGCUACAGUGCUUUAGGUAAAAGGGUUAUUCUAACAGUUUGAGUGGAGAAACACAAUGUACUGUCAGGUGCCCUCUUCUCUUUAGGAAAGAGUUUACAUUCAUGUAGCCCUUGCAAGGUUGUAUGAAACACAACCCUUGCUGGGCAUUGUGCCCCAAAUACUAUAUAGCUGUAUUCCCCACUUAGUUUGAAGUAGAACAUCUUCCACCUGGCACUUUCAUUAUAGAACAGGUUUCCUACUUUUUCUUUCCAUAUCCCUCUUACAUACUCAGCUGCUGAGAGCAGGAUUUCUUUCUACUGUGAUGUUUAAUCAAAACAUCAAAUCCUUAUGCUGAUUUUCCUUGUGGCUUUUUGUUUCAUACCUUAUAGAGCACAUGAGACAAAUCAUUGUGCAGUUUUUACUUAUAUUCUGAAGGAAAAGAGGCAAUCGUUCAUUUUUAAUAGCUCUUUUUAACAGGACAGCAUUUCUCACUGCAGUUCCACAUUUGUAUGUAUGAUGAGUAUUUUCAAUCUCUCUUGUUUAGAAUCUUGUGUAAUAUUUGAUAUCUGUAAUAUCAAGAUGUUAGUUUUAUAUGUCUGGAUAUUCAAAUAAUAGAAUGUGUCUAUUUUUAUCCUACUGCCUUCAUUUAACAAAUUGCCACAAACAACACUUAGUUCGAGGUCUGUACGGGGAUCUCAGUUUAUUCCAUUUUUUGUAAAUGUUAACUUAUCACUUUUUGGCAUUCUUUAUUUUUUCAUAGUGAGUACUGGGCUGUAGAAAUGCUACAACACAUACUUUUGUGUUAUCAUUACAUGCCAUGAAACAUUUAUGCUUGGAAUUAGGCAAAAUUCAAGUAUUGUACAAUGUAAAUAAGAUUAAUGAAGCUAUGGCAUUGUAUUUAUUGCUUAUAGAGUAAGACUGAAACAAAAAAUGUGAACUUAUUUUGGUUUUGCUUCAUUUUCACUCUUAAUAUGAAACAUUACUCAUUUAAUUGUUGAAAAACCAAUAUUAAUUUUCUGAUCAAUAAAAUCUUAUGCUUACCAGUU